rnacentral:rRNA from 1 species
AUGAAGCUCCUUUGCUGGAACAUUAGGGGAUUCGGCAACCUGGGCCGUCGACGCCAGCUGAUUGACUACAUUAGUCAGGAAGAUAUUGACAUAGUAGGUCUGCAGGAGACGAUUCGUUAGGACUUCUCCAUUCAGGAGUUACAAGGGCUCUCUCGUCACCCGUUCGCCUGGCAAUGGUUGCCGGCGUCUGGGUUAUCUGAGGAAUUCUCCUCAGGGUCAGGGAGGAUUUCUUUCAGUAGAGGAUAUGGACCGCGAGGAGUUUUUCCUUAG